CGUUUGGUAAUUUCAAUUGCCAGCGCUUAUUGCGCGGCGAUAAACCUUACACACAUUGUCUAGUUUUUUUGAACUUUGCUUUGGGUGCAUCAGCCUAGCUGCGUGCCCAAAGGUCUAAACACAUUUUUUUAAUGUUAAAACCUUUAACCAAUAGUCAUGAAAAUUUUUAACAAAAAUUAAAAUCUUCAAAACUUUCAACAACGGAUCUCUUGGUUCUCGCAACGAUGAAGAACGCAGCGAAAUGCGAUACGUAUUGUGAAUUGCAGAUUUUCGUGAAUCAUCGAAUCUUUGAACGCACAUUGCACCCUCUGGUAUUCCAGAGGGUAUGCCUGUUUGAGCGUCAUUUCUCUCUCAAACCUUCGGGUUUGGUAUUGAGUGAUACUCUGUCAAGGGUUAACUUGAAAUAUUGACUUAGCAAGAGUGUACUAAUAAGCAGUCUUUCUGAAAUAAUGUAUUAGGUUCUUCCAACUCGUUAUAUCAGCUAGGCAGGUUUAGAAGUAUUUUAGGCUCGGCUUAACAACAAUAAACUAAAAGUUUGACCUCAAAUCAGGUAGACUCCCCAGU
rnacentral:rRNA from 1 species